rnacentral:lncRNA from 1 species
UGGAGAGACCGAUUUUGUGAGGGAUCAAGUUUUUAACUCGAUGUUACAAAUUUGGUAAGGUAUAUUUGUGAGAGAAUUUCGAUUAGCAUAGUUAAUUAAAAUUCAUGUUUAUUAUAGCAUUGGAAAGGUGGUAAUGUCUACUUUACCUCCGUUGAAGCUCCAAGUCUUGAAGAAGACCGAGAUAAACAGAAUUGAAGCUUGAAAUUCUUAGUUGAUCACUUGUUGUGGUAGAGUAAAAUUGUGUGGGAAGCGUUUCUGUAACACCCCC